UCCCCGGUAGCUCAGCUGGUUAGAGCGGGUGACUGUUAAUCACUAGGUCGUUGGUUCGAGUCCAACCCGGGGAGCCA
rnacentral:tRNA from 1 species